UACGAAGGGGGCUAGCGUUGCUCGGAAUCACUGGGCGUAAAGCGCACGUAGGCGGAUUGUUAAGUCAGGGGUGAAAUCCUGGAGCUCAACUCCAGAACUGCCUUUGAUACUGGCGAUCUCGAGUCCGGGAGAGGUGAGUGGAACUCCGAGUGUAGAGGUGAAAUUCGUAGAUAUUCGCAAGAACACCAGUGGCGAAGGCGGCUCACUGGCCCGGAACUGACGCUGAGGUGCGAAAGCGUGGGAGCGAACAGG
rnacentral:rRNA from 1 species